rnacentral:ncRNA from 1 species
GCCUGGACACAGACAGGAUUGACAGAUCGAGAGGUCAUUCUCAGUUCUAUGGGUGUUGCUGCCUGACCAUUCUUGGUGGAGUGAUUUCUCUGGUUCAUUCCAGUAACAAACAAAACUCUGGCAUGUUAACUAGUUAUGCCACCCCUCAGUGGUUGACAACCAAUUUCUUGAAGGGACAAGUGGCAUUCAGCCACAUCAGAGAGAGUAACAAUAGGUCUGUUAUGCCCUUUACUGUC